CCUACGGGAGGCAGCAGUGGGGAAUAUUGGGCAAUGGGCGCAAGCCUGACCCAGCAACGCCGCGUGAAGGAAGAAGGCUUUCGGGUUGUAAACUUCUUUUCUCAGGGACGAAGCAAGUGACGGUACCUGAGGAAUAAGCCACGGCUAACUACGUGCCAGCAGCCGCGGUAAUACGUAGGUGGCAAGCGUUAUCCGGAUUUACUGGGUGUAAAGGGCGUGUAGGCGGGACUGCAAGUCAGAUGUGAAAACCACGGGCUCAACCUGUGGCCUGCAUUUGAAACUGUAGGUCUUGAGUACUGGAGAGGCAGGCGGAAUGCCUGGUGUAGCGGUGAAAUGCGUAGAUAUUAGGAGGAACCCCAGUGGCGAAGGCGGGCUGCUGGAGCGCAACUGACGCUGAGGCGCGAAAGCGUGGGGAGCAAACAGGAUUAGAUACCCGAGUAGUC
rnacentral:rRNA from 1 species